UUCUUGAUUCAUUGAUGCCACUCUACUAAGAGUCCAACUCUAGUAUUCAUUGUCUUUACUAAUGCCACACAAUUCAUAUGUCAUAAUGUCAUUUAUUCUCAAUGUCACUAGAUUCUUUACCUUUUCUAGGUUCUUGUCAUCAUUCAUGCAUACAUAGGUUUCUUUUACAAGUUCUCACUAGUUCACAAUCAUCUCACAUGCAUUUGUACUCACAACAUGCAACAACGGUAAUAUAUCGAAUUUUAAUUUAAAAGCGAGUAUAAAUAAAAAUAGUGUGAGAUACUAUUUUUAUUGAAUUUAGAGAAGUAAGAUAUGUGUCGGAAACAACUCGUGCUGAAAUCGAAACGAAAACAGAAAAUUUAGAAUUUUCUGUGAGAAACGGGGCAGAUAAAUUAGCAGAAAAUGCACAGUGUCAGAAAAUUAUGAAAACUAGAGGAUAUGUCAGAAUUAUUUUUAUGAGGCUAGAUUUAAAGUUUCAUGCCAUUCUGACACCCGAAAAGUAAAAAAUAAAAUCCGACUGGUAUCUGUUAGAAAUGUUGUUCCGUAGAGAUUUCGGUGACCAAACAGGGUCGAAACUNGCAGAUAAAUUAGCAGAAAAUGCACAGUGUCAGAAAAUUAUGAAAACUAGAGGAUAUGUCAGAAUUAUUUUUAUGAGGCUAGAUUUAAAGUUUCAUGCCAUUCUGACACCCGAAAAGUAAAAAAUAAAAUCCGACUGGUAUCUGUUAGAAAUGUUGUUCCGUAGAGAUUUCGGUGACCAAACAGGGUCGAAACUGAAAGAUAAAAAUUUCUUUCUUCAAGUUAAGUAAAACCAAACAUGACUGUCAAAUUUGAGCUCAAACGGACAUUCAGAUAACUCCGACGAAGAGUAUCAAAUUCUGAAAGCUAAGCUACUGGUGUGAAUAGUGUUUUGAGGGUGUUAAUUAUAAA
rnacentral:lncRNA from 1 species